rnacentral:rRNA from 1 species
AACGUAGGUGGCAAGCGUUAUCCGGAAUUACUGGGCGUAAAGGGUGUGCAGGCGGGGGUGCAAGGGGUGUAUGAAAUAUCCCAGCUUAACUGGGAGGGGUUAUGCCAGACUGCAACUCUAGAGGACGAGAGAGGGGGGUGGAAUUCCGGGUGCAGUGGUGAAAUGCGUAGAGAUCCGGAGGAACCCCAGAGGCGAAGGCGGCCCCCUGGCUCGUACCUGACGCUCAGCCACGAAAGCAUGGGGAGCGAACGGG